rnacentral:pre_miRNA from 1 species
AGACUGGAGCGGUUGUGGUCUAGUGCUGUGUGGAAGACUAGUGAUUUUGUUGUUCUGAUGUACUAUGACAACAAGUCACAGCUUCCUCAUAGCG